rnacentral:tRNA from 2 species
UCCCGGUUAGCUCAGUUGGUAGGGUGCUCCACUGGAAAUGGAGAAGUCCCUGGUUCGAUACCCGGACCAGGCA